UACGAAGGGGGCUAGCGUUGCUCGGAAUCACUGGGCGUAAAGCGCACGUAGGCGGAUUGCUAAGUCAGGGGUGAAAUCCUGGAGCUCAACUCCAGAACUGCCUUUGAUACUGGCGGUCUCGAGUCCGGGAGAGGUGAGUGGAACUGCGAGUGUAGAGGUGAAAUUCGUAGAUAUUCGCAAGAACACCAGUGGCGAAGGCGGCUCACUGGCCCGGAACUGACGCUGAGACGCGAAGGCGUGGGGAGCAAACAGG
rnacentral:rRNA from 1 species